rnacentral:lncRNA from 15 species
GUUUUACAUCACAUUUACUGUUUUGGUUCAGUCUCAGAGCUCCCUCAGCCUUGUUUCCAGCUCUUAUAAAUCAACUGUAUAUUACCUGCCCAGCAGCAAACAGCAGACAGUCACAGCUGCAGACUAGUUGGUCAAAAAAAGUGGAGCAUUUAGCAGCUAAAGAGCCAGAUAUUUCCCUCAGGAGUUGGCAGAGAAAAAAACAGAGAGAAAAUCACAUAACUGUAAUGCUAGAACCAGUGAAUAUUUGGUUUAUUCCCAUGAAAAUGAAAUGAAUCGAUUAUCAAAAACCGUUGCAGAUAAUUUUUCUGUCAAUCAACUGAUUGAUCAAGUAUUUUUAAUGUAUAUUCCAUCUAUGUUUUACCUGGGAAAACUCAAUUCCACAUGCGUAGAGUUCAUUCACUGACUACUUUAUUUUCAUUUAACGAUCAAAAACAUGUUCAAACAUGAGAACCAACAUGUUUCUUGGAAGCACAUGUGCUUUAAAAUCACGUGGAAGUUCUGACUUCAGUGUCACUGUAACAGAAGCUGAGACAAACAUAGCUCCACUCAUUUCUGCAGAGGGGUCAGAGGUCACAGGCAGCCAUCUGAGCAGGUGGAAGUUCAGUGUCUUGAUCAAGGACUCUACAGCAACACAGACAAACGCAGUGUGUUAUGUUUUAUACCAGCCUCAGAUAUGUCUGGUAACAUUUUACACAAACCCUCACAAGGUCUUUAACCGUUCCUUCAACCUCUCUUUGAAACGACGAGAUUCCCGAACAGAUGUACGUGACUUGAGUGCCUCUGUCUCGGAUCAAUACUCGCCCGAGGGAGUGCGGCCGGUCUCCUCGCUCCUCCUGAUUUCAUGUAACUUACCGGCUGCUCGUCCAUCAGUGACUCAUUUCUGUGAAACCGAAUCUGAAAAGCUCCGUUCCUAUGGAGAUCAAGGACCCAGGGAGUCUGGUUUCACCCAUAGAGACUUGCAGCAGAAAUGACACUCCUUCACAUUGGGAGGAACCAUUUAGGUGAGUCUGGUAUCUGCCUCCUGGCCACCUGACUGUGGAGGUAUUCCAGGCACAUUCGGCAAGUAGAGAAACCCCAGAAUACGCUGGAGGGAUUACAAAUCCCAUCUGGCCUGGAAGUGCCUCAGGAUUCCCGGAGAAGAACUACUAGGACGUGGCUAGGAAGAAAGACAUCUGGGCUACCUUGCAUAGCCUGCUGUCACCAUGACGUGCACCCGGAUGAGUGGUGGUAAAUGUACGGAUGAAGCCACCAAAGUAUCUGCUGAUAACAAGGCAACGGAGAACUCAGUCCAGAGGGGUCAGGAAACACGAGCAGUCAAAAGACCAGCUUGUAAACUGAGAUCCAACUUAGAGAUAACAAAGGCAAAUAGUAAAAUGGUUAAAGGGACAUGUGUGUGUAGGAAUUUCUCCCAUCUAGCGGUGAAAUUGUAUUUUGCAUUAAAACGAAUAGUGCUCCCUAGUGCCUCGCGUUUCCAAAUACGUAUUGCAACUACGGUAGCCGUUAUGUAUCAAGAAGCCUACCUGUCGAGGAGAAAGCAGGCAACUUCAGUGUCCCUUUGAAAGUCUUUCUCCUUCAUUAGCUCUUUCCACCUGGGAAAAGCUACCCCGAUGUUUACCCUCGUUUUUUGAAUUCGCCGGUCACGUUGCAUUUUUAAUUCACUUUUUCACUUUUUUGGC